UGGUUCAAGUGGAGAAGUGGUCUUUACGCUUUGAAUUAAAGUGAGAUUCACUCCUCCAACUUACUCCU
rfam:Apis mellifera strain DH4 unplaced genomic scaffold GroupTn803, whole genome shotgun sequence.